UAGUAGCUUGGUGCAAAAGUAAUUGUGGUUUUUGCCAUUUAAAAGUAAUGGCAAAAACACAACUAUUUUUGCACCAUCCUAAUAGGUAUUGUCCCU
rnacentral:miRNA from 10 species